UACGUAGGGUGCGAGCGUUAAUCGGAAUUACUGGGCGUAAAGCGUGCGCAGGCGGUUUUGUAAGCCAGAUGUGAAAUCCCCGGGCUUAACCUGGGAAUGGCAUUUGGAACUGCAAGGCUCGAGUGCGGCAGAGGAGACUGGAAUUCCUGGUGUAGCAGUGAAAUGCGUAGAUAUCAGGAGGAACACCGAUGGCGAAGGCAGGUCUCUGGGCUGACACUGACGCUCAUGCACGAAAGCGUGGGGAGCAAACAGG
rnacentral:rRNA from 1 species